rnacentral:rRNA from 1 species
UACGAAGGGGGCGAGCGUUGUUCGGAUUUACUGGGCGUAAAGGGCGCGUAGGCGGCCCUCCUUGUCGCGUGUGAAAGCCCCGGGCUCAACCUGGGAAUUGCGCGCGAAACGGGAGGGCUCGAGUUCGGGAGAGGAGCGUGGAAUUCCCAGUGUAGAGGUGAAAUUCGUAGAUAUUGGGAAGAACACCAGUGGCGAAGGCGGCGCUCUGGACCGAGACUGACGCUGAGGCGCGAAAGCGUGGGGAGCAAACAGG